GAAAUUUCAGUUGGAACAAUUCUUUUUGGCUGGGAGGAUUUGACUGAAAAGAAAGAGGGGAAAAGAUGAAGAGAAAUAAGGCACAUUUCUGUCUUAAGCGUUUUUGAAGAUGUUAUGAACUAUGAUGCAAGCUGACAUUAAAGCCAUAUGGAAAGACGUGUGUGGUGCGAAGCCAGUGGAAACAUCUGAGCAUCCGUCAGUAAGAACAGAGUCCUCAGCCCAACAGAUCACAAGUGACUGCAUCCUGCCAGUGACAAUGGACGGAAGCAAGUCCAGACGUGGAUCGUUGCCUCUUUGAGCUUUCAGAUGAGACUCUGGUGACAGCCAGGAUGAGACUCUGGUGACAGCCAGUACCUUGAUGGCCAUCGUGAGAAUCUAAGACAGAGACCCAUACAAAUCAUAACCAGAUUCUUAGGAGAAGCAGUGACACAAUAAAUGAGGAUGACUUGAAACUGUCAAUUCUGAGGACAUCACGUUAUAAAGCUUAGAGCAUCCAUACAAUACAUAAUGAUUUAUAUGCUACUCAUAUCCUGAAAUUCUACAAAACAUUGGUCUUUUUCUAUCAUUUCAUUUUCAAAUACAAUGCAAAUUUGUAAGUUUUAUCUUCAAUGGACUCCAAAUCCUCUAAUAUAAUGCAUUUUCCUCCUGAUUCCUCUGUAUAUAUCUGUAUUCAUUUUUGUCAAACUUUCAACUUCCGUUUUCUUUAGGUAUAAUAUGUUUAUUCCUUUAUUUCAUCUUCUUCUAAAUUCAGGAAGAAACUUCAAGUUGCUUCAGAGAAAUUUUCCUGAAGUAAAGAAUUUUCUAUUUAAGUAUAAUUUCACAUCUGAGCACUUGUGUAGAAAUGAGUCAUAUCAAUAGUGCAGACAUCACAAAGAAACUUAAAUAUCUGAAAAACAAAUUAAUCCCAUGUGCAAUUGUGUGAUGUGUGUGGACAUGUAUAUAAUUUAUAUUUAUAGUUGGCUGGUUGUUUUGUUUCUUGUUUAUUUAUUUCUCCUGAGUACUAUCUCUGAAGGUUAGAAAGAUAAGCUUGUGGUGAAAGGAGUCUUCCUUGUGUAUAAUAGGACUGAGAUAAGUAGAUUUUCAUAUUUUCAAAAUGCAAAAUAAUAAUAUUUUAAAAAUUAUUGUGUUGUCUUUUAUUUUCUAAAGCAUUGCAGUGUGCCUGUAUAUACUAACUUUUUCUGGAAUGAGAUGGAAUUUCAGCAUUGUUUUAAUUUGCAUCUCUUGAAUGACCGUAAUGUUGAACUGGUUUUCACAUAUUUAUUUGCCAUUUCUAAUUCUUCAUCUAGAAGCAUCUAUUCUCUUCAUAUUUCCAUUUGUGUAUUGGGUCUUUAAAUUUGGGAGUAUACAAUUUUUUGAGUUCUUUAUAUAUUCUGGAUAUUAGUCUUUUGUCUGAGGAACAGCUGACAACAUUUUUUCCUACUCUGUGGAUCAUCUUUUCACUCAGAUGUUUCUCUGGCUGUGUAAAAGCUUUUUAAUAAGAUGAGAUCUUGGCUGUCGAUUCUUUGCAAUAUUUUCUGUGUGAUUGUGGUUGGGUUUUGUUCAUGAAUAUUUACCUACACCUAUGUCUUCAUGAAUUCUAACUGUUCUCUCUUCCAGGAGAUCUUGUGUUUUUGUUUUAAUAUCAAGAAAUCAACCAAUAAAAAAUCUUUGCAGGCUGUGGCAGAAAAGGAAAACUUCUCCGAUGCUGAUGGGCAUGUAGACUGGUGCAACCUCUCUGUAGUCAGUGUUAAAAACUAAAACUAGAGGCUUAGGGGUUUCAUUCAAUUCAGCCAUCCCCCUUCUUGUUAUCUCCCAAAAGAAUUAACAUCACCAUACCACUGAUACCACAGAGAUACAUGCAGACCCAUGUGUAUAGCAGCACAGUUUGCAAUAACUAAGUCUUGGAAAC